rnacentral:rRNA from 1 species
CCUUUGCCGGCGACCGGCGCACGGGUGAGUAACACGUAUGCAACCUGCCCUCUUCAGGGGGACAACCUUCCGAAAGGGAGGCUAAUCCCGCGUAUAUCGGUUUCGGGCAUCCGAGAUCGAGGAAAGAUUCAUCGGAAGAGGAUGGGCAUGCGGCGCAUUAGCUAGACGGCGGGGUAACGGCCCACCGUGGCGACGAUGCGUAGGGGUUCUGAGAGGAAGGCCCCCCACCACUGGAACUGAGACACGGUCCAGACUCCUACGGAAGGCAGCAG